GACGAACGCUGGCGGCGUGCUUAACACAUGCAAGUCGAACGAAGUGGCGAACGGGUGAGUAAUACGUGGGUAACCUGCCCUUCAGAGGGGGACAACAGUUGGAAACGACUGCUAAUACCGCAUACUGAAGGAGGGGAUUGCGUCUGAUUAGCUAGUUGGAGGGGUAACGGCCCACCAAGGCGAUGAUCAGUAGCCGGUCUGAGAGGAUGAACGGCCACAUUGGGACUGAGACACGGCCCAGACUCCUACGGGAGGCAGCAGUGGGGAAUCUUCCGCAAUGGACGAAAGUCUGACGGAGCAACGCCGCGUGAGUGAUGACGGCCUUCGGGUUGUAAAGCUCUGUUAAUCGGGACGCGGUACCGGAAUAGAAAGCCACGGCUAACUACGUGCCAGCAGCCGCGGUAAUAC
rnacentral:rRNA from 1 species